rnacentral:rRNA from 1 species
AUUGAACGCUGGCGGCAGGCCUAACACAUGCAAGUCGAACGGAGUGGCGGACGGGUGAGUAAUGUAUCGGAACGUGCCCAGUAGCUGGGGAUAACUACGCGAAAGCGUAGCUAAUACCGCAUACUAUUGGAGCGGCCGAUCUCGGAUUAGCUAGUGGGUGGGGUAACGGCUCACCAAGGCGACGAUCCGUAGCUGGUUUGAGAGGACGACCAGCCACACUGGGACUGAGAAACGGCCCAGAAUCCUACGGGAGGCAGCAGUGGGGAAGUUUAGACAAUGGGGGAAACCCUGAUCCAGCCAUCCCGAGUGAGCGAUGAAGGCCUUCGGGUUGUAAAGCACGUUUGGCAGGAAAGCGGUACCUGCAGAAUAAGCACCGGCUAACUACGUGCCAGCAGCCGCGGUAAUAC